rnacentral:rRNA from 1 species
GACGAACGCUGGCGGCGUGCUUAACACAUGCAAGUCGAACGGAAAGGCCCUGCUUUUGUGGGGUGCUCGAGUGGCGAACGGGUGAGUAACACGUGAGUAACCUGCCCUUGACUUUGGGAUAACUUCAGGAAACUGGGGCUAAUACCGGAUAGGAGCUCCUGCUGCAUGGUGGGGGUUGGAAAGUUUCGGCGGUUGGGGAUGGACUCGCGGCUUAUCAGCUUGUUGGUGGGGUAGUGGCUUACCAAGGCUUUGACGGGUAGCCGGCCUGAGAGGGUGACCGGCCACAUUGGGACUGAGAUACGGACCAGACUGCUACGGGAGGCAGCAGGGGGGAAUAUUGCACAAUGGGCGGAAGCCUGAUGCAGCAAGGCCGCGUGCGGGAUGACGGCCUUCGGGUUGUAAACCGCUUUCGCCUGUGACGAAGCGUGAGUGACGGUAAUGGGUAAAGAAGCACCGGCUAACUACGUG